GCCCCCGUAGCUCAGCGGCCAGAGCAACGGCCUUCUAAGCCGAUGGUCGCAGGUUCGAAUCCUGCCGGGGGUG
rnacentral:tRNA from 1 species